UACGUAGGUGACAAGCGUUGUCCGGAUUUACUGGGCGUAAAGAGCGCGCAGGCGGUCGAUCAAGUCGAGUGUGAAAGCCCCCGGCUCAACUGGGGAGGGUCAUUCGAUACUGAUCGACUCGAAGGCAGGAGAGGGUAGUGGAAUUCCCGGUGUAGUGGUGAAAUGCGUAGAUAUCGGGAGGAACACCAGAGGCGAAAGCGGCGACCUGGACAGGUACUGACACUCAACUACGAAAGCGUGGGGAGCAAACAGG
rnacentral:rRNA from 1 species